rnacentral:tRNA from 1 species
GGGGCUAUAGCUCAGCUGGGAGAGCGCCUGCUUUGCACGCAGGAGGUCUGCGGUUCUGAUCCCGCAUAGCUCCACCA